UACGUAGGGGGCUAGCGUUGUCCGGAAUCAUUGGGCGUAAAGAGCUCGUAGGCGGCUCAGUAAGUCAGGUGUGAAACCUCCAGGCUCAACCUGGAGACGUCACCUGAUACUGCUGUGGCUUGAGUCCGGUAGGGGAGUGUGGAAUUCCUGGUGUAGCGGUGAAAUGCGCAGAUAUCAGGAGGAACACCGGUGGCGAAGGCGGUUCUCUGGGACGUUCCUGACGCUGAGACGCGAAAGCGUGGGGAGCAAACAGG
rnacentral:rRNA from 1 species